UACGAAGGGGGCUAGCGUUGCUCGGAAUCACUGGGCGUAAAGGGUGCGUAGGCGGCCCUGUAAGUCAGUGCUGAAAUACCCCGGCUUAACCGGGGGGGUGGCAUUGAUACUGCAGGGCUUGAGUACAGAUGAGGUAGGCGGAAUUGACGGUGUAGCGGUGAAAUGCAUAGAUAUCGUCAAGAACACCGAUAGCGAAGGCAGCUUACUGGGCUGUAACUGACGCUGAUGCACGAAAAGUGUGGGGAUCAAACAGG
rnacentral:rRNA from 1 species